UACGGAGGGUGCAAGCGUUAUCCGGAUUCACUGGGGUUAAAGGGUGCGUAGGUGGGCAGGUAAGUCAGUGGUGAAAUCUCCGGGCUUAACCCGGAAACUGCCAUUGAUACUAUCUGUCUUGAAUACCGUGGAGGUGAGCGGAAUAUGUCAUGUAGCGGUGAAAUGCUUAGAUAUGACAUAGAACACCAAUUGCGAAGGCAGCUCACUACGCGAAUAUUGACACUGAGGCACGAAAGCGUGUGGAUCAAACAGG
rnacentral:rRNA from 1 species